CUUUUUUAGAUGUAGUAAUUUGCAGAUACCAGAUGGAUGUAGAGAUGCUACAUACACCAGUUGUAGACAAAUAUAAGUUCUCCAAGAUGCUUCGCUGGUAUAAAUAAAUUUGGUGGCUGAUGCUCUGGCUGGCAAUAUUUCUUCAAAAAGCUCAAAGACUUGUCAUUGCAGCAACUCUCAUUGGGUACCUUUUCUUGCUUUAACCGUAAUUAUAAGUUAAGGGCUCUAAUUAUCUCUAAGCUAAUAGAAUUAAAUAAAAUAACAGUUAGUCGAUAUUUUUCUCCUUUACUAGUAUGUAUUGGGGUCCUUGUGCUCAUUUCAUUAUUCAUUCAUCACAAGAAUAGCCAUGGCAAACAUUAGUCCAGUAUUUCAGAGAGCCUUUAUCAUUAUACCACCUCAACACUACAUUUCGUCAAUAUUUACUUAAAAAAAAUCAAACAACUAAAAAGCUAGUUUAAGACCUUCGCAUACACAAUUAUGACACAAGUAUGAAUAUGCUCGUCCACGCAGGCUCCGCUUUUAGGCAGUGCAAGACUACUGCAUAUCCCCAUCAAAACAGUAGAUAGAUUGCGUGUAAUGAACUUGGGCCGCCUGUGGUUGAGCGAAUUGUAAAUCCUAAGGAGCAUAGAUGACUUCCAGGGAGUUAAACAAAAAGCAAACAACAAUUACUGUGUAUACAUAUUCAACAAUAUAAAGAAAGACCGCUUUUACCUUGGUAAAAUAAAGCUGGGAUUCUUUAGACCGAUACUAAAACUAUCGUAACCUGGCCUUCCCAAAACACACAGGAAAACCAAGCGAUCAAGGUCAGUACUCCAAGGAAUACCUGUGGUUUAAGCGGGAAAAUCAAGAGGGGCGGCGCGCGCGAAAACAAAAACAAAAAAUUAAAUAUUGCCCCUGCAGUUGUGUUACACCAAAACGUAAGUACACAACACUUAACCUGAACUCCUAUUUAACCCCGUUUUUCUAGCUCGCUUAAAAGGCAAGAAAUACCUUUUUUGUUCCUUUACUUUAAUUUUACAUUUUCCACAGAAUGUCGCAAAACGCACAGCCCGCCGGACCGCCCCCAUCGAGCGGCGGCAAACGAGAAGAAAAUAAUCAGCAGAAAGGGAAAAGAAAAACAUGUGAAAAGUGUAAAGGUCACGGCCAUAAGGCUGAAAAAUGUAAGUAUAUGUAGAAAGAACUUGAAGUGUGAAAAUGUAAUGACAAUGUAACAAGUGUUUAACAUAUUUAUUUCAUCAGAUAAUAAUGUGCGCUGUUAUAGGUGUCGGGGGCAGGGGCACAAAAAAAAACAAUGCCCCACACGACCUCAAAAGAAGAACAACAACAAGACGAAAAGAGGCAAUGCAGCUGCAGGCGGUGGCAGUGGUGGGGCAAAGCAGUUUGUCUUCCACAUAUAUUGAUUUCCAUAUUUAGGGGAGUGCUUUUGGUGCCUCCUCUAAAUAUGGAAAUUAAUUGUUACCUGGUAGACAAACUGUUGUCUCUUUAUUAAUACAUGUUUUGACAUUUAUUAUUUUAUAUAAUACACCUAUUUCAAAUGAGCAAAUGUCACAAACUGCAGUGCUUCAAAGAUAUCAAAUGAGCCAACAAAUAAGCAUAGAUCAAAGCUUACCCAUGUUUCUUUUUGUGUGUCUUUUGAAUGAACCAAUCAGUGUUACCACACAUUGAUUCUCCAAUGCAAUACCUUGUUUGAAAUAGGUGUAUAAUAUAUAUUUAAAAAAUAUUGUAA